GACGAACGCUGGCGGCGUGCUUAACACAUGCAAGUCACGGGGGUCCCGCAAGGGAUAACCGGCGAACGGGUGCGUAACACGUGAACAACCUGCCCUCGUGUGGGGAUAGCCGGGCUAACGCCCGGGUAAUACCGCAUACGGUCUUUCUGGGGAGUCCUGGGGAGAAGAAAGCUCCGGCGCACGGGGAGGGGUUCGCGGCCUAUCAGCUAGUUGGCGGGGUAAUGGCCCACCAAGGCGACGACGGGUAGCUGGUCUGAGAGGAUGGCCAGCCACAUUGGGACUGAGAGACGGCCCAGACUCCUACGGGAGGCAGCAGUGGGGAAUCUUGCGCAAUGGCCGAAAGGCUGACGCAGCGACGCCGCGUGUGGGAGGACGCCUUUCGGGGUGUAAACCACUGUUGCCCGGGACGAACAGCCUUAUUCGUAAGGUCUGACGGUACCGGGUGAGGAAGCACCGGCUAACUCCGAGCCAGCAGCCGCGGUAAUACGGAGGGUGCGAGCGUUGUCCGGAAUCAUUGGGCGUAAAGGGCGCGUAGGUGGCCCGGUAAGCGUGCGGUGAAAGCUUGGGGCUCAACCCCGAGUCGGCCGUGCGAACUGCUGGGCUUGAGCACUGUAGAGGCAGGCGGAAUUCCGGGUGUAGCGGUGGAAUGCGUAGAGAUCCGGAAGAACACCGGUGGCGAAGGCGGCCUGCUGGGCAGUGGCUGACACUGAGGCGCGACAGCGUGGGAGCAAACAGGAUUAGAUACCCUGGUAGUCCACGCCGUAAACGAUGGGCACUAGGCGCUUGGGGGAGCGACCCCCCGAGGGCCGGCGCUAACGCAUUAAGUGCCCCGC
rnacentral:rRNA from 1 species